GACGAACGCUGGCGGCGUGCUUAACACAUGCAAGUCGAGCGGUAAGGCCCUUUCGGGGGUACACGAGCGGCGAACGGGUGAGUAACACGUGGGUGACCUGCCCUCAGCUCUGGGAUAAGCCUGGGAAGCCGGGUCUAAUACUGGAUAUGACUCCAUGACGCAUGUUGUGGGGUGGAAAGCCUUGUGCGGCUGAGGAUGGGCCCGCGGCCUAUCAGCUUGUUGGUGGGGGUGAUGGCCUACCAAGGCGACGACGGGUAGCCGGCCUGAGAGGGCGACCGGCCACACUGGGACUGAGACACGGCCCAGACUCCUACGGGAGGCAGCAGUGGGGAAUCUUGCGCAAUGGGCGAAAGCCUGACGCAGCGACGCCGCGUGAGGGAUGAC
rnacentral:rRNA from 1 species